GGAGGUAUAGCUUAAGUGGUAGAGGACAUGCUUAGUAUGCACGAGGUCCCGGGUUCAAUUCCCAGUACCUCCU
rnacentral:tRNA from 1 species